rnacentral:lncRNA from 1 species
CCUUAUUGUCGAAAACAAAGGUGACACUCUAUCUCUAUCUCACAGUGUCAGUAUCGGUGUUUGUGCACGCCUUAGUGUCUCUGUUGCAUGGUGUUCUAGGCUGUCUCUUAUCCCAUUGGGAUCCUUUUAACAGCCAUUUGCACGCACAUUUUAUUUAGCUCACUGCUUAAAGCAUUCUUCUGUAUAAUUUGUUUUAUGAAACAUAAUUGCUAAAAUUAACUGUGAUUUGAAUGCUUAAAAUUUCUAGUCUCCGUUGUCUCAGAAACUUGCAAUGGAGCAUGCCAUUGCAUUAUCUGUCUGUACUUUCUCUCCCACUAACUUAGUUUUCAAUUUUUUCCAGGAACAACAAUGAUAUUAAGGGGGCUCCUGCUGUUGCUGGUUCUCAAGGCUUUGAGUGCAUAUGCGGUAGCAGAAAGAGAAACAUAUGUGGUCCACAUGGACAAGACGAAGAUCAAAGCUUUAGAUGCCUCUCUUGGCACUUCCAAAAGAUGGUACGAAGCUAUCAUCGAAUCUCUCACUGAAUCAUCGGCUCACAACAAAGUAGAGCAAGGCCCACAAACAUUGUCUCCUGAACUACUUUACGUAUAUGAAACUGUCAUUUCUGGUUUUGCUGCAAAGCUCUCAAAGCAACAACUCGAAUCCUUGAGGAAAACGGAUGGCUUUCUCUCUGCCACCUUGGAUGAAAUGCUAGAGCUUCAUACAACACAUUCGCCUCAGUUUCUUGGCCUUAAACAAGGUAGUGGCCUGUGGAAUGCUCAAAAUUUAGCUUCUGAUAUAAUAAUUGGCAUUGUUGACACGGGAAUAUGGCCCGAACACAUUAGUUUUCGUAGCUCGGGCAUAUCUCCUGUUCCCCCUCGUUGGAAAGGAAAAUGUCAGGCAGGCACAAAAUUUAGAGCUUCAAACUGUAACAGAAAGCUUAUAGGUGCAAGAGCAUUUUUCAAAGGAUACGAGGCCAUUGCUGGAACAAUUAAUGAAACAUUAGAUUACAGAUCGCCUCGGGACUCAGAAGGGCAUGGAACACAUACUUCUUCGACUGCAGGAGGUAAUCUUGUCAAGGGUGCAAACAUUUUUGGGUUGGCCAAAGGCUCAGCUGCUGGCAUGAGGUAUACAACAAGAAUUGCAGCUUAUAAAGCUUGCUAUCUAUUAGGAUGCGCCAGCUCGGAUUUAUUAGCUUCUAUCGAACAAGCAGUCGAGGAUGGGGUGGACGUUCUGUCACUUUCUCUGGGAGGCGCUUCGAAACCAUAUUACAAUGAUAAUAUAGCCAUUGCUUCAUUUGGUGCCAUGCAAAAUGGAGUUUUUGUUUCAUGCUCAGCAGGCAAUUCAGGGCCUUCUGAUUCCACCGUUGCCAAUGUGGCGCCAUGGAUUAUGACGGUUGCUGCUAGUUAUCUUGACCGCAGUUUUCCAACUCGAGUUAAACUUGGCAAUGGACAAAGUUUCACAGGGGCCUCAUUGUAUUCUGGCAAGGCUACCAAGCAAUUGCCUUUAGUGUAUGGAGAAACCGCCGGUGGUGGAGUAGCCAAGUUUUGCAUCAGCGGCUCACUCUCUCCAAGAUUUGUUCACGGUAAAAUCGUUAUUUGUGAUCAAGGAAUCAAUGACAGAUUCCAAAAGGGAGAGAUAGUGAAAAUGGCAGGUGGAGCUGGCAUGAUAUUAGCAAACUCUGACCAUCAAGGAGAUGAACUUUUUGCUGAUCCACACGUCUUGCCAGCCACAUCUCUUGGUGCUUUAGCAGCCAAUGCCAGCAAAAACUACGCUAGCUUAAGAAACAAUGCGACAGCUUCAAUCGAGUUUUUAGGGACAGCAUAUGGAAAUCCUGCGCCGGUUAUGGCUGCAUUUUCCUCCCGGGGUCCAAGUGUAGUUGAACCUAGCAUAAUCAAGCCAGACGUAACUGCACCAGGUGUGAACAUUUUAGCUGCAUGGCCACCAAAUAUUAGUCCAACACAACUCAAAAGUGACAAAAGAAGAGUCCAAUUUAACAUAAUNGUGGACAGGGAUGCUGAAUUCGCAUAUGGCUCUGGCCAACUGAACCCAACUAAAGCAGUUAGUCCCGGACUAGUCUAUGACAUGGAUGAUAUGUCAUAUAUUCAGUUCCUAUGCCACGAAGGUUAUAACGAAUCAUCUAUAGGGAGUUUAAUUGCUCAUGUAUCAGUGAAUUGUUCCAAGUUGCUUCCUGCGAAUGGUGAAGAUGCUAUAAACUACCCUACAAUGCAACUUAUGCUGAGGAGUGAUCAAGAGCCAACUGUAGGUGUUUUUAGAAGGAGGGUCACCAAUGUGGGCCCUUCCGACUCCGUCUACAAUGCCACCAUUAAGGCUCCAAAGGGAGUGAAGAUUACGGU